AUAAAACUAGGAAACCCUAGCCAUCUCCACCACCAGACCGCCACCCUCUCCUUUGGCUGAGCGCUAUCUCUCCUCAGAUCCACCGUCACCUGUGUUCCUCUCGCACGAAGCAGCCUCAGCGGGCUUGGAUCUGAUGUGCUGAGGGGCAAGGCGGCGAUGGUCAUGACCAGUGGCUCUGGCGCGGGCGUCGCGCACCUAGCGGCCAGAUCCGACAGCAUGGAGGUUGACGGUGUCAGUCUUGGUUGAGCAUGGCUCGCAGGAGGCCACGCAGGCUCAAUCCGGCCAGGGACUACGAUGUGUGAACUUAUCUCAAUUGCAGACGAGUUGAUGCAGUCAAGAUCUAGCUGAUCUCUCGGUUUGUAGAAAGUGGCAGCAUCUCCUUGCUGGUGACAAACAAGACCGUGAAUAAGCAGGUCAAGCAAUUUAGGGGUCUCUUUUCAACCGAUACAAGUGCCGUAAGGAGCAAGUGCAGCAUAAUAGAUUCCCUAUCACCUCGUGAUCAAACAUAUCAAGAACAUUCAGAAGAAAAGUGCUAGUGUUGUACGAGAACAUUUGGGAGCUGGAACUUGUUUUGGUGGUUGGAACCUAUAUUAAAAUCAUUUUGUAUUUGUAUUUUUGUUGUGUUUUUUGUAUGCAAACAUGGCUGGAACAUGUAUUCUAGAACAUGUGAUUUUGUAUGGGCUUAAAUGUUAUUUAUGGCUAAAACAUUAUUUAUAUAUUAUGUUGUAUGGGUUAAUUAUUAUAA